UUUGGUGUGUCUAAUAUUAGGCUACAGGAUAAUCUUGUAAUAAUAAAAGUUAAAAGUAAUAAUAAGUAAAAGCUUAUUUUCAUUUUUAGACAAUGCUUGUAUUAUAUGCAAAAAUACGCUUUUUAUAUCAAAGACUAUUCAACUUAGAGUUAAUUCAUGGUCAUCUUAACUGUGUAUUAAUUAAAAACAUUUACACCAUUAAAUUACACAUGGUAAUGUUAUCAAUAGUUGUCAGAUAAUAGCUAUUGAAAGAGUGGAUUUUUUUCUCCUUCAAUGCAUGUGUUAGCCACAGAUUGAAGAUUGUAAACAGUUUAUUUUAUUUUAAUUAACAGUUGAGUAACUUUUGGCCCUGAGUUAGAUGUUGAUUACCACUAAACCAGUCUAAAAAUCAGUCCAGUUUCCCCAGCUGUAAACCCAUUGGCUUUUAAAGUCUUUUUUUCUUAUAAUAAACUGACAUUGAUAACACAUUCAGUUUAUGUGUUUAUGAGUACACUUUCAGAAUGCUCUCAGUUACAUGAAGAUCCAUACGUAUGCAUCUGUGAGUGUGACUUUUGGCCAAUUUGAUCUUUUGCAAAUGCAAUGCAGUAUAGGGGCCUCCCUCCACCUGUCCACAGCACGCAUUUUAUUUCUGUGGUAAGAGGACUUGAAAUGACUCGAAACUAAAAUGGUAGGACUUUGGACUCGACUUGAGACUUGUUGGCUUUGACUUCUGACUCGACUCGGGACUUGCCUCAUCUUUGACUCGACUUGACUCGGGACUCGAAAGCAAAGACUUGAGACUUACUUGUGACUUGCAUAACAAUGACUUUGUCCCACCUCUGCUUAAGACAUA